rnacentral:rRNA from 1 species
AUUGAACGCUAGCGGGAUGCCUUACACAUGCAAGUCGCACGGAGUGGCGAACGGGUGAGUAAUGUAUCGGAACGUGCCCAGUAGCGGGGGAUAACUACGCGAAAGCGUAGCUAAUACCGCAUACUAUUGGAGCGGCCGAUAUCGGAUUAGCUAGUUGGUGGGGUAACGGCUCACCAAGGCGACGAUCCGUAGCUGGUUUGAGAGGACGACCAGCCACCAUGGGACGGAGAGAAGGCCCAGAAUCCUGCGGGAGGCAGCAGUGGGGAAGUGUGGAGUAGGGGGGAAACCCUGAUCCAGCCAUCCCGCGUGUGCGAUGAAGGCCUGCGGGUUGUAAAGCACUUUUGGCAGGAAAGCGGUACCUGCAGAAUAAGCACCGGCUAACUACGUGCCAGCAGCCGCGGUAGUUC